CAAGUUUGUAGUGAAAAUAAUUUCCAUUGUAACUAUCAGAUGGCGCUGGUUUAAUAUCUGUGGCGCUCUCUUAUAGAAACGUAUGUUUCAGUGAUUGGCUGGUACCAGGGAGCGGUCGCUAUAUUAUUGUCGUUUACAUUUUUAAAAUGUCGCACUGAAUGUGUGAUGAUACGAUGUAUAUUCUAAAUACUGACAAACGUUCAAAGUAUAUGAAAUUCAAAUAGAAAAAUUCAUCAGACAGGAUCAUGAAACAACGACGUGGUUUUCAAACAACUAAAUGGAUGUAGUAUGGAAUUAUAUUAAUGGAGCUCAUCAAAACUAGUGACCACGUUGAGGACUCAUGCACUAUAGAAAAUAGUCUAAAGUUUGGAUAGAGUAAACAGUACUCAUGGUAUUAUAAUAGAAUUUAUACAGUAUUAUACAGUAUUUAUACAUUUGAUUGUAUAGAUAGUUUAUGAUCCAGGGACUCGAAUCGUGCCCAUCACUAUACAUCAGGCGGUGUCGUGCGCCGACUGGUACGGCCAGGUACCAAAUGCCACAAGGUCACCGCUCGUGCGCCCGCGUGCAGAGGAAGGGGUUCCCGCCAGAUGAUGAAGCGGCGGGGAAGAAGAGGGACAGAGAGAGACCUUUAUUGUGCUGGUCGACUUGCACCCGUAAGGCGCGCAGCCAAUGAACAGUGAGAUAACAGGUGAAAGAACACACACGUCGUCCCAAGAGACGGUGAAGACGCCGUUCUCGGCAGGAAUAAAUUUUUCUAAAUUGUCCACCGCUCACCAAGAAUUCAAAUGAUUCACAAACCUUCCUCUCCGCAUUGGCACGACGUGGUACGGCGUAACCGCGUGCCUUGGCUGAGUAAAAAAUGCGCAAAUUAUUCUACCUGGAAACAAACUCAACGGAGAUGAAUGCAAACAAGAUGAACUUACCUGACUCAGGAACAGGACCAUUCCAAACUUUUCUCUUUCCGCAAUCUCAGUGGAACCAAUGAAUUUGGAGCAUGUAUUAGUCCAGAAAGUUCGUGCCAAUUUUUAAGAAAACUUCAAGGCACGUUUUAAUUGUAAUAUACAUUUAUUUAUAUGUAUAUAUGUAUACAUAAA